rnacentral:rRNA from 1 species
AACAGUUGGAAACGACUGCUAAUACCGCAUAAGCCCACGGGUCGGCAUCGACCUGAGGGAAAAGGAGUGAUCCGCUUUGAGAUGGCCUCGCGUCCGAUUAGCUAGUUGGUGAGGUAACGGCCCACCAAGGCGACGAUCGGUAGCCGGACUGAGAGGUUGAACGGCCACAUUGGGACUGAGACACGGCCCAGACUCCUACGGGAGGCAGCAGUGGGGAAUAUUGCACAAUGGGGGAAACCCUGAUGCAGCGACGCCGCGUGGAGGAAGAAGGUCUUCGGAUUGUAAACUCCUGUUGUUGGGGAAGAUAAUGACGGUACCCAACAAGGAAGUGACGGCUAACUACGUGCCAGCAGCCGCGGUAAAACGUAGGUCACAAGCGUUGUCCGGAAUUACUGGGUGUAAAGGGAGCGCAGGCGGGAAGACAAGUUGGAAGUGAAAUCUAUGGGCUCAACCCAUAAACUGCUUUCAAAACUGUUUUUCUUGAGUAGUGCAGAGGUAGGCGGAAUUCCCGGUGUAGCGGUGGAAUGCGUAGAUAUCGGGAGGAACACCAGUGGCGAAGGCGGCCUACUGGGCACCAACUGACGCUGAGGCUCGAAAGUGUGGGUAGCAAACAGGAUUAGAUACCCUGGUAGUCCACACCGUAAACGAUGAUUACUAGGUGUUGGAGGAUUGACCCCUUCAGUGCCGCAGUUAACACAAUAAGUAAUCCACCUGGGGAGUACGACCGCAAGGUUGAAACUCAAAGGAAUUGACGGGGGCCCGCACAAGCAGUGGAGUAUGUGGUUUAAUUCGACGCAACGCGAAGAACCUUACCAAGUCUUGACAUCCUUACUACGCAAGAGGACUCUGGCCAGACUGCCGUUGACAAAACGGAGGAAGGUGGGGAUGACGUCAAAUCAUCAUGCCCUUUAUGACUUGGGCUACACACGUACUACAAUGGCGUUAAACAAAGAGAAGCAAGACCGCGAGGUGGAGCAAAACUCAGAAACAACGUCCCAGUUCGGACUGCAGGCUGCAACUCGCCUGCACGAAGUCGGAAUUGCUAGUAAUCGUGGAUCAGCAUGCCACGGUGAAUACGUUCCCGGGCCUUGUACACACCGCCCGUCACACCAUGAGAGCCGGGGGGACCCGAAGUCGGUAGUCUAACCGCAAGGAGGACGCCGCCGAAGGUAAAACUGGUGAUUGGGGUGAAGUCGUAACAAGGUAGCCGUAGGAGAACCUGCGGCUG